rnacentral:snRNA from 1 species
AGCUUUGCGCAGUGGCAGUAUCAUAGCCAAUGAGGUUUAUCCGAGGUGCGAUUAUUGCUAAUCCCAGCAGCACUCAGGAGGGUGAGGCAGGAGGAUCACCAUGAGUUCCAGGCCAGCCUGGGCUACACAGUGAGUUUUGGGCCAGUCUGGACU